rnacentral:rRNA from 1 species
GACGAACGCUGGCGGCGUGCUUAACACAUGCAAGUCGAACGGAAAGGCCCUGCUUUUGUGGGGUGCUCGAGUGGCGAACGGGUGAGUAACACGUGAGUAACCUGCCCUUGACUUUGGGAUAACUUCAGGUAACUGGGGCUAAUACCGGAUAGGAGCUCCUGCUGCAUGGUGGGGGUUGGAAAGUUUCGGCGGUUGGGGAUGGACUCGCGGCUUAUCAGCUUGUUGGUGGGGUAGUGGCUUACCAAGGCUUUGACGGGUAGCCGGCCUGAGAGGGUGACCGGCCACAUUGAGACUGAGAUACGGCCCAGACUCCUACGGGAGGCAGCAGUGGGGAAUAUUGAACAAUGGGCGGAAGCCUGAUGCAGCAACGCCGCGUGCGGGAUGACGGACUUCGGGUUGUAAACCGCUUUCGCCUGUGACGAAGCGUGAGUGAAGGUAAUGGGUAAAGAAGCACCGGCUAACUACGUG